rnacentral:lncRNA from 1 species
GGCCGCUGCCCCGCAGCGCCGCCGGGUCACGUGACCGCACCUGCCUCGCUCCCUCGGGAGGUUUGGUCCCGUCACGUGACUGUCCAAUGAGCAUCUCCCGAUAAGUGCCAGCAGUGGCGCCGUCCAACAGCCGUCCGUCCAAUCGCAGCUCUAAUGCCUUCAUUUAUCCAGAUCACUUCCUUUAAGGAAAGCCAGCUGCCAUGUGGUGAGUGUCAGGCCUCUGAGCCCAAGCUAAGCCGUCAUAUCCCCUGUGACCUGCACGUACACAUCCAGAUGGCCGGAAGCAACUGAAGAUCCACAAAAGAAGUGAAAAUAGCCUUAACUGAUGACAUUCCACCAUGGUGAUUUGUUCCUGCCCCACUCUAACUGAUAUGAUAUAUUCUCCCCUCCACCCCACUUAAGAAGGUACUUUGCAAUAUUCUCCCCACUCUUGAGAAUGUAAUUUGUACACCUAUCCCAAACCUAUAAGAACUAAUGAUAAUCCCACCACCCUUUGCUGACUCCCUUACUCAGCCCACCUGCACCCAGGUGAAAUAAACAGCCUUGUUGCUCACACAAAGUCUGUUAGGUGGUCUCUUUGCACGGACACGUGUGACAGUGAGGACACUCAAGCAGUCAUACUCUGGCGAAACACGGGUGGCAGGAAACCAAGUC